ACUUCAUAUUGUUAAAAUGUCCGUACUACCCAAUGCAAUCUACCAAAUCAAUGCAAUCCCUAUCAAAAUUUCGAUGGACAGAAAUAGAAAAACAAUUCUAAAAUUCAUAUGGAACCAAAAAAGACUAUGAAGAGCCAAAUUAAUCUUGAGAGAGAACAAAGUUGGAGUCAUCACACUUCCUGAUUUCAAAAUCUAUCACAAAGUCGUUUUUCCCUUUCCGUUCAGCAUCUCUGAAGAUGCCAUAGCUUCUGUUGAAACGUUAACAAAAUCAUUUUUAAGAUUGAAGUAACUGUGCCCUGAUAUGAUUGUGGUUUUCCCUUUGGUUAUUUUUAAUUUUUUUCUGUUUGUAUUUGGCUUUCGAUAGUGUGACAAUGAUGUACCUAGGUGUGGUUGUCCUUAUAUUUAUCCUCAUUUGGGGUACUCUGAGCUCCUUGAAUCUCUGGGUUGAUGUCUUCCAUCAAUUUUCAAAAUUUUUUGGCCAUUAUGUCUUUAAAUAUUGCCUUUUCUCCAUUCUCUCUCACCUUUCUCUUUGGGGCUGCAAUUGCAUGUAUCUUAGGCCAUUUGUCUUCCUCACAUAUCUUACACUCCUUUCUGGUCUUUUCAUUCUUUUUUCUAUUGAAAUCUCUUCCAGUUCACUAAUCUAAUCUCCUUCACUAAUCUUCUUUCCUGGUCUUUUGUUGACUCUAUCGAAUGAGUUCUUCAGACAUUGUGUUUUUCAGUUCCAGAAUGUCCACUUGGUUUUUUAAAAAGAGAUCCUAAUUAUUGAAAUUCUCCAUCUUUUCAUAUAUCUUGUUCAUCAAUUUCCCUAUUUUCUUUAACAUAUUAAUAGUAAUUUUAAAGUCCCGCUCUGAAUCAUCUGUGUAUCUCUUUCUAUUGCCUGUUUAAUAUUUUGGCUUCUGGUCAUUCAAUCUUUUUUUUUUUUUUUAAAGCAUGCCUCAUAAUUUGGGAUUGGAUGCUGUACACCAUAGAGGGUUUUUUUUAUUUUUUUGGUAUAUUGUAGAGGGUUUGAAUAAUGCUAUCCUCCUCCAAGGAGGGUUAUUUCCUGCUAGCAAGCCAGGUCCAUGUGGCUGACAAAACCUCUGCUUCAUUCUUCAGCGGUUGCUGUUUCCUGCUGGUUGUUUUUGUUUGCCUGUUUUGAGUCUCUCUCUGCUUUUAUGUAACUUAGGUAUCAGCCAGUUAUUUGAGGAAGAUUUUAAUUCAGAUUAUUAGGCUCCUUAUUUUUGUUUCCUUCCUUUUCUGGAUUUCCCUCCUCACUUCCCAGCCACUUUGGCAGUCCUGAACUCUGACCUCUCUUUCCUUGGCCCUUUCUCUUGAGAUUUAUUACCCUAAUAUACAAUUUGAAAUUUUCCUGAGUGGAAAACACCAGGAUGAUUGUGGAGCUCACCUCGUGUCUUUUCCCUCUCCAAAGAUCGUGGCCUCUUAAGUCCUGUCUGUGUUGGUUGUACUCAAUGCCUUCAAACAGGUGCUUUAGAUGCCCAUUGCUCUUGGAAUUCCCAGCCUUCAGAACUGUGAGAAAUGUAUUUCUUUUCUUUAUAAAUUACACAGUCUGUGGCAUUCUGAUAUAGCAACACAAUAUGGAUUGUGACAGAUGGCCAACAGGCAUCUCAGAUUUAAUUAAUCCAGAAAAAAAAAUUCCUGACCCCCCGCCCUCCCACCCUGACCCAAACCAUGGUCUGCAGUCUUCUCCAUCUCUGUAAAUUCUUGUUUAUUUGUCUCUUUGUGAACCCCAUUUUCAUUCUGUCAGAAUGUCUUAUAGGUUCUGCCUUCCAAAUGCAUCUGGUAUCUGACCAUAGCUCCUCUCGCUGGAGCUCCCUUGAUCCAAGCCCCAUCCUCUUUCCUGGAUGAUGGGAGGAGCUUCCCUGGAUAUCUCUGCUUCUGCAGCCAUGUGGCAUUUAAAGUGUGGAUUAUACUAAAAGCCUUGUCACUCAGAGUCAAAUUCAAAGUCUGUCUGUGGCUGUUGACCAAGGUGCCGUGAUGCUGACCUUCCAGCCCCACCUUCUAUCCUCCAGCCAGUCCAGCCUCACUGUCUGCUUCCUCAGACACACUCCAAGUCUCCCCCAUCCCCGUGCAUCACAGCUUCAGGGUUACUAUCCCAGUGAGUUCUUCUUCGUCCAUGCUGGGAGCCUCCUGUCCCCCUCUCUGAGUUGUUUUAUGACUUGCUCAUU
rnacentral:lncRNA from 10 species